CUACAAAGAGUGAGAAGAAAGUAAGAAUCAUCUUGGAAGGGCUAUGCGGCAAUGCUAACAGCAGCUACUGGAGAUCCGAAGACGACGUCGGCAUGGCUGCUGGCCUGGGAGGCGAGACAGAGUCCCACCCUUGCGUCUCCUUCACCAUAAACUUUGUCUGAGGAUGUUUCAUGUAUAUUAUUUUGUGACACCAAUUCAUUCAUCGUAUGUCGGUUUCGGUUCAUACUUCUGUAGUAGAUGAUCCACGCCGAUCAAUAAUGUAGUGUUUCGGAGAACCUUGAAUGUAUCCUGGCACAAACUGGGACUUCUCUUUUUUUGUUCUGCUACGUUGUUGCAACUGUUCACUUUUUGUGCAGUGUUGUAUUACUGGGUACAUUAUUGUAAUUUUGAGUAACAAGAAUCUAUAAUAAUAAAAUCAAGGUGAAUAAGCUGGGUAAUAUAAACA